AAAAAGAAAAAAAAGAAAGAAAAAGGAAGAAAAAGGAAGACAGACGCAGACAGUGGAGGUGGGAGAAAAGCAAAUCUUUGAAUCGUCUUUGGAUCUGUUCUUCCUUCCUGGUAAAUUUCUCCUGCAAUUUGAUCUUACUCUUCUGAAAUGAGAAAAGUAAUAAUGGUUUAUAUUAAAAUGAGGCACUAUUGGUUUAUCAAUCGAAGGUAAAUGAGGCACUGUUGGGGGUGGGUUUAUCUUAACCCAGGGGAUCUUUUAGGUGGGCAAUUAAAGGUAAAACAUGUCUGCAAAAUGGUUUUCAAAUUAAUGAGGGCUUGUUUUUUGACAACCAUCUUCAAAUGAUAGGUUUAGAAAUGUGAAUGUUGCCAUCACAAUACCAGUAAGAUCAUUCCAAAUGAUCCAGGACAAUUGAUUCCAUGUUGCUGGAUAUAUACUUGCAUGCGUUAUCUUUUAAUUGUUUAUCGAGCACAUGAUCAAAUUCAAAACAUUUGCAUGUUGUAAUCAAUAGAGUUUGAUCUAGUAAAAACAUUUAGAUGAGUUUAGCUUGUAUCUAGUAUACUGGUAUUUCUUGUUAAAGAAACUGCCAUUUGCCCAUAAAAUACAGCUGUUAUCCACUGACCAUUCACUUGGUUUUCUUUGUGCAAUGCAGUGUGCCUUUGAGGAUAUUCAGG
rnacentral:misc_RNA from 1 species